AAUGGGGUCACUGAAUCUGUCCUGGAACCUUAGGCAGGAUGCCAGAAGACUACACUGAUUCUCACCUGCAGUAAUUGCACUCCUGACCACUCACCAUCUGUUUCUCCCUGUGGUGUCCCACCAUGGUCAGUGCCCACAUCCACCUACAAACAGAACCAUUGCUGGUGAAAAAAAAGUGCCCUAACAUCAGCAGACCAAUGUGACUUUUCUUUCAUGCUUUGUUCGAUUUUGAUGCUCUGAGACAC